rnacentral:rRNA from 1 species
GACGAACGCUGGCGGCGUGCCUAAUACAUGCAAGUAGGACGCAGUUGCGAACGGGUGAGUAACGCGUAGGUAACUACAUAUUAGAGGGGGAUAACGAUUGGAAACGAAAGCUAAUACCGCAUAAUAGUAGAUGGAAGUGCGUUGCAUUAGUUAGUAGGUAGGGUAAUGGCCUACCUGGGAAACGAUACAUAGCCGACGUGAGAGGGUGUACGGCCAAACUUGGACUGGGACAAGGCCCAAACUCCUACGGGAGGGAGCAGGAGGGAAUCUUCGGAAAUUGGGGGAACCCUGACCGAGCAACGCCGCGUGAGUGAAGAAGGUUUUCGGAUCUGAAAGCUCUGUUGUUAAGGAAGCGGUACUUAACCAGAAAGUGACGGCUAACUACGUGCCAGCAGCCGCGGUAAUUC